AUCUUUGCCUGGAAUUGAAAGAAAAUAAGGAUUAAGCCAAAGGAUUUGAAACUUGGAAAUUAUAUAAAAAAAAGUUUCUGCAAUGCUCUAUAAUAGACAGGUCGUCCAUUUGUAUCCUGUAUGUCACGAUAGUUAUUGAUCAAAGGACGACUGCGCGAGUCCUUGAGAGUCCAGAGUUUCGCUAUCUGCCGCUCGGGAAAAUCAAGUAUGUCACUAAAGACAGUCCAAGUCACAGAUUCAGCGCAAUCGGGUGUCGUUAGAGAGCCUUGAAAGGUAUAAAAUUCGCCAGUGACGACAUCCCCCAACAGUUGGCCAACAUUCAAUUGCCCCGAAAUGGUCACAUUUGAAUUGUAUUCAACAAUGCGUGGCACUUGAUUGAAGAUCUUAUUGAGUCCAUAGAGCUGCGAAUUGGGACGUGACCGGGGAACAGCACGGAACAUUACACCCAAUACGGCUAAACCAUCCGGCUGUUGGGUGGCCUCACCCAUGGAUUCAUAACGUCUGUUCUUAUGCACAAUAUGCAUCUCGACAUCGUAACGCACAAAAUUAAUGGCAUGUUCUGAACCCUUGCUCGACCUAGAUCCCCAAUGGAAAUGAACACUUUGAACCUCGAAGUCUCCGGGCAGCAGGCCGCCAUUGAUAUAAGGACGUUGACCUCCUCGGGUCAAUGGUAAGACCAUGUUGGCUAAAGACUUAAAGUUCAGUUAAGAGUUUUGGUUGAGGAAAAGCCUUUUCACCUGUAUGUCCAUUGUUUGUGAGGACCAACGGAGUUCGCAGAGAUUGAUUAUAAUUGUUGAAACGUAUGCGGGGAAUGGAACUCAGCGUGGACUGUUGAAUUGACCAAAGAUCAAGUUAUUAAGAAAUCUUUUCGGGAAUAUUAACUCACAUCACUGAAUAUGAGAUCAAUGGGCGAUUGCCUCUGUCCAGUGUCACAGGUGCCAGUCCAAUCAGCUCCUUGAUGAUCGUAAUUAUAAUCACCAGCUGCAUCUUCGUCGGCUCGAUCUUGUCUUAUGGCAGUUAAAUAGUCAGCUGGGAUCUCUGCUUGAUAUUCAUGAAAUAUAAUUUAUACUAUAUAUGUAUAUUCCUAUGGGAAAACUCACCAAUCAGGGCCGACGAGCAGCUGAGUAUAGCCAAUGGCCACCAAAACCUUAAAACAAACAUCUUUUGCAACUAAGAACUCUUCUUUAUAUUUGACUCUUCUGUUUUCUGUUUGCUCCCGUUGAAGUUUCCAACUCGACUGUGACUUGUCUCGAGCCAAGCAGGACCAUUUAUACCUACCAGUCCAAUAAAAAUAACACAAAAAAAUUAUUAAAAAACGCAAGAAAAAAAAAAGAAAAAACAGAGCGACAACGACUUUUUCUAAUGACUUUCCUAGAAGCUGAUAAGCGAAGCCCUCCGUUGCAGUCCCUGUCCCCGUUCCCUCCUGCUUGCACCGCCCAGCCCUGUCUUAGGCCUAUUGCUAAAUUUACAUAGAGAUUGAAGCGCUGUUAGAGUUGCAAAACCAGCUCGACAAUUAACUUUUGCAAAGGCCGCCUCAUCCACACAUGUGAUUUUUCUUUCCGUUGCCAAUAAUUAAAGCCUGUUGCACAGGUUGAACGAUCCAAUAAAUAAGUAUAUCAUCUAGGACUUGAAGAUUUUAUAUCGAAUGAGGAGAUGAGCUAAAUAAUCCAAAGACUUAUGGCACAAUAUUUUAAAAGUUAGAAGGGCAGGCAAUUGACUCGAGACUGGGAUGAAACUCCUUUACCAUUACAAUGUUGCGGAUUUAUACUAAGAUGGCCAUAUGAUCUCAAAGGCUAUCAAUGAUUUUCACUCAGAUUGUAAAUAUUCAACUAACAGAUUUCUUUGGAACUCUAUAAACGUUUAUUAAAUCUGCUGACUGUGCUUUGUUGUUCCUAUCAAACUCUCUUGAAAUGUUUACUCAAACAAUAAGUGGACACUAUCACUUUAAUAUAUACAUAUCUAAGGUUUAACGUACAGUGCUGGCCACACAUUUAACAAUUUUUAUGCUAUCGUACAUAAACGUUGAUUUUUUAGAUUUCCGUGAAUUUUAAUGAAAACAUUUUGGACAAACUUGUUGUUUACAGUACUGUAUUUCUUAAAGCCCAAACUCAAGUAGAUUAAAUUUUCACUAGAAUGAGGAAGUGACUGGAACCGAAACAAAAGCAAUUAGAGCUAAUCUCCAAUUUGAUCCAGUAAACAGAAUAUAGUAAACAAAGGUGGUUUACUAUGGUCAAGAGAUGAAAGUAGCCUUGAAGUGGUAAACGGUUCUCUUAGUCAAUGUCACCUAAGAAAUUUGAUCGUCUGUAGGUUUAGGCCUGAGCCUCUGCCAAUAUAUUCAUCUUUCUCCUACCUGCUUUUAUGCAUAUAAUCUGGAUAGUGGAAGUUCCCUUUGUGUGUCAUAAAAAGAUUAUAUCGUAACGUGACAAAUUGUUAAUUUUAUGGUGUUCAAAUGAUAUUUACGUUUUCAGAUUUCUUCUCAUAAUAAAUUGCGCGUUUCACGCUUUAAAUUAAAGAGUUAUUAAUUAUUAUUAAUUUAUAAAAAGGCUGGAAUCCUUUUUUAAUAUCAAUAUUUUCAAUAUUUAAUUGAAUUCUUUGAAAAUAAGCAUACAUAAAUAGUUAAAAUUUAAAAUAAAUAUAAUUAUUUUAAUUAUUA